AGCACUGUGGUGAAGUGGCCUAACACAGCCGACUUUCUAUCGGUCAUACGCGGGUUCGAAUCCCGUCAGUGCUAUCA
rnacentral:tRNA from 1 species